AAAAUUCAUCCAUCCCACCACCACUGCUACUUUGUCUUUCCCAUCAUAAGAGAAGCCACAUUUGACAUUCACAUUCUUCUUCUUCGAUCUCACAAAUUCCACCUUUUUCCAUCUCUCUCAAACUCUCAACAAUGGCGCUUCUCCAUCACCUCAACAAAACAAAAUCUCUCUCCUCCGUCCUCCUCCCCUUAACCUCGACCCACACCCACAGUCGCCGCCUUUCCUCCGACUCCACAAAAACCCUAACCAUCGAAACAAGCGUCCCUUUCAAAUCCCACAUCGUCGAACCCCCAUCUCGUUCCGUCGACACAACACCCGCCGAACUCAUGACCUACUUCCGCGAUAUGGCCCUCAUGCGUCGUAUGGAGAUCGCCUCCGAUUCUCUCUACAAGGCUAAACUCAUCCGAGGUUUCUGCCAUCUUUAUGACGGACAAGAAGCCGUUGCUGUUGGAAUGGAGGCUGCCAUUACUAAAAAGGAUAAUAUUAUUACGGCGUAUCGCGAUCAUUGUAUUUACCUCGCGCGUGGAGGGUCACUUCUUAGCGCGUUUGCUGAGCUGAUGGGUCGGCAGGAUGGGUGUUCGAGGGGUAAAGGUGGGUCGAUGCAUUUUUAUAAGAAGGAUUCUGGGUUUUAUGGAGGUCAUGGAAUUGUGGGUGCUCAGGUUCCUUUGGGAGUUGGGUUGGCUUUUGCGCAGAAGUAUAAUAAAGAGGAUUGUGUUAGUUUUGCAUUGUAUGGUGAUGGUGCUGCUAAUCAAGGUCAAUUGUUUGAGGCUUUGAAUAUGGCUGCUCUUUGGGAUCUGCCUGCGAUUUUAGUCUGCGAGAACAAUCACUAUGGUAUGGGAACUGCAGAAUGGAGAGCUGCAAAGAGUCCAUCCUAUUACAAACGUGGAGACUAUGUUCCUGGAUUGAAGGUUGAUGGUAUGGAUGUAUUGGCAGUGAAACAAGCUUGCAAGUUUGCAAAGGAGUAUGUUUUGAAGAAUGGGCCUAUUAUCCUUGAGAUGGACACUUAUAGGUAUCACGGACACUCAAUGUCUGAUCCUGGAAGCACUUACAGGACACGUGAUGAGAUAUCCGGCAUAAGACAGGAACGUGAUCCUAUUGAGAGAGUCAGGAAAUUGCUAUUAGCCCAUGAUAUUGCCGGAGAAAAGGAAUUAAAGGAUAUUGAAAAGGAGAUUAGGAAAGAAGUCGAUGAAGCUAUUGCUAAGGCAAAGGAGAGUCCAAUGCCUGAUACCUCAGAACUUUUUACUAAUAUCUAUGUGAAAGGUUAUGGAGUAGAGGGAUUUGUUUGGCCCUAGGAUAAAUUGGUGAUAAGGUGGACUGUAUGGGUUAUGAACCAAUGAUAGGCUUAUGAGUGUCAGUGGUGAGCAAAAUGGUUAUUGAUGUGGAAAGUGUUGGAUUCUUGGUGUGGAAGUGGCUAAAUCGAAUGGUAUUCAAGAAUGGACCCCUGAUUCUCAAGUGUAGAGGCUCUAGUGGAGAUUGUGCCAUGUCAAUUUAAUUUCCAAUGACAUGCCUGUAAAAAAAUAUUGUCAUUUGGUGCUGACAGGAAAGUACUUAGAACUACGCUACCAUGAUCAGAAGUAAUAUUUUGAUACAAGAUGGAGAAUUGAGAUGGGAAGUCUCAAAAUAAAAGGUUUUGACCCAAAAUUAUUUUUUUGCUUAUGCAAUAUUAUCAUUUGUUGUAUAGGUUUUCCUCGCACCUACAGUUUAGUUCCACUGCCUAGUUGCAGUGGAUGCUGGCAUAGCUUUGGAUUCAUCAUGUAAUGAUUCAUGGAACUUUAUGUUAGUGUGCUUCGGGUUUUA